rnacentral:lncRNA from 1 species
GUCUGUAGCUGGGGAAGGAGCCUUCAGCUGCUCUGCUCUUCGCAGUCAGACAUUGCCUCCCUGAAGAUUCAGAGUCCAGAACACCUGCUGUAUUCUCCCAGCAAACGCUGGGGCCACGGCGUCUCUCCUCUAAUGACACCUCAUCAAUCCGCUCCUAUCAAUGUCCCAGCCAUGGAGGUGACUUCGAGUGCUCAGAAGCCUUAGAAAAUGUCAACGUUUUGGGAGAAAAGGGUACACUUUUGCCAAUCAAGUCAAGUAUAACAGGUUCAAGGAAAAGUUAGUGGAAGCCGUUAUCCAUGUCAACAUUGAACCAGAAGAGCAUGAUUUGCAAGAGGAACUGCUACACAUUUUACACUUAUUUACUCCAACCUUUCCUGCUAAUUCCAGGUUUAUUGUAAAACCACUGAUCCCUUCAUUUGAGCUCGACUUCCCUGCACUUAGUUUUGAAUUUUUCCCCUGUCCAAUAGUAAGACACACACACAGAGAAGAACAACAAGAACAAGAAGAGAAUUGCAAUGAUGUGAAAACACGAUAACACAUGUAGAGCAGAGCACUGUGCACCAGUUACUAAUGCCAGAAGAGGACUCUCACUAUAUGGAGGGUAAUGAAGAUCAUCACAAUACCAGCCACCAGGAAUAGAAGUCCAGAUACUUCUGCCCACUGUCUGAGAAGACAGAAUGACUGAUGACAGAAGCACCUGCGAUCUUCUUCUUGUGCUGUGGGCUUCAGGGGAAUCCAAGAGUUCCUGGCAAAGAGGAUCUAAUGAAGACUGACAUUGAUCAAUAAAGGCAUGGGGUUAAAAGAGCAACAAUAAGAAUACCUUAAAGUUGUACUCAGAAGAUAGGAGCUAUCUCUGCUUCCUUUCAGAAACAUCAUUAUUACCUUGAAUCAGAGCCUGCCAGAAGCAUUUUGCACAACAAUUGUAAGAAGAGACUGAAACUUCAGAAACACUUUUAGACGGAGUUUCACUGUUGUUGCUGGGGCUGGAGGGCAAUGGCAUGAUCUCAGCUCACCGCAACCUCCGCCUCCCGGGUUCAAACGAUUCUCUUUCCUCAGCCUCCCGAGUAGCUGGGAUUACAGGCAUGCACCAUCACUCCCAGCCAAUUUUGUAUUUUUGGUAGAGAAGGGGUUUCUCUAUGUUGGUCAGGCUGGUCUCGAACUCCUGACCUCAGGUGAUCUGUCCGCCUUGGCCUCCCAAAGUGCUGGGAUUACAGGCAUGAGCCACUGCCCCCGGUAAAAGGUCACAUCUUUAAGCAACAGCUUUGAAUAUUCCAUUAAAUUACCAUUCCUUUUAUAGCUAGAUGUUUGUACUGAAUAAAGUAGAGCAUCUGUCAGUACAAAUAGACAAUAGUCAAACAGACACUGUCCAUUUCUCAUUCACAGUGAUGAACUAUUUCUUCCUACAUGAACAGACACCUAUAAGAAGUAAUCCAUUGCUUAGCGAUACUACUCACUUUCUUUCUGACAGAAGUAGAGAAUAGAAAAUCCUUGUGCAUACAAGUUACGUAAGAGGCCAUGGCCAUUAUUCUGACAUUAGUUAUGUUAGACUACAACUGAUGCAUACCCAUUUAAAGAGAAAAUAUUGCUUGUUACUUUCACUUUAUUCAGCAUAGAGAGACACCAAAGUAGGUACACAGUUGAGUAGUUUUCACAAGAAAAAACAUCUAUAUCUACAGUUUGAAACAAUGAGUUAUUUGCUCAUACUUUUGCAAUGCUGGUGGAUCAUCUGGCUGGUAUUUCCGCUGGUCUUGUCUUUUGUCUCUCUUACAGUUUUAGUUAUUUGGUAGCUUGACUGGGGCUGGAUGACCCACAAAAGUCUCACUCACAUUUCUGGUGGUUAGUUGUGGCUGCUCUUUGGAAGACUUAUUCUUCUUUUAUUGGCCCAGCCAGCAGGUUAGCCUGUAGGAGAAUAUAGCAGUAACAGCAUUCUAGAAGAGCAAGUCCUGAUGCUCAGGUGCUCAUUAAUUCUGUUCUUGCCUCAUGUUUUUUUUUAUUUGUCAUUGGCCAAGGCAAAUCCCAUGGCCAAAACCUUAGUCAAUGUGUAAAGGUAUGGAUACAUGAAGGUAUGACUCAUUGGAGGCAUCCAUUAAAUUAAUAAUCUACUAUAAUGCCCCAGUAUACAUAAGACUGGUAUAUAUGUAAAACAUGGUUUAUUUUUCAUAUUUUUGUUCUUGGUUUCAUAUGCUUAAAUUUUUUUUAGACUUACAGAAGAAAGGAAAACAAAAACCAUAAAAAAAGAGUAGGAGGCAUUCCUAUAUGCUUUUCACCCACUUCCUGUAAUCUUGACAUUUAUUUAGCCACAAUACAGUUAACUAAACUAAGAAUUAAACAUGAGUGCAUAUUAUUAACUAAAAUACAGGCUUUAUUCAGUAUUCACUAACUUACCUACUAAUAUAUUUUUCUCUUUUAGGAUCCAAUCUAGCAUUCCAUAUUAUUGCUUCCACCUAGUUUUCUCCAACUUGUGACAGUUUCUGAAUCUUUCCCUGUCUUUCAUGACCUUGACAUUUUUGGCGAAAACUGGUCUUUUGUUUUGCAAAAUGUCCUCCAAUUUAGAUUUGUCUGAUGCUUUUUCAUCGUUAGAUGAAAAAAAGCAUAUGCCUUUUCGGCAGGAAUACCACAGAAGUGAUGUGCCUUUCUUAGUGUGUCCAAUAGGAGUUACUUGAUGUCGGUAAGUAGUGAUGCAUUGACCUUAACCUUGAUCACUUGGUUAAGCUGGUGCCUUCUGGGUUUCUCCACGGAAAAAAUGCCUCUCUCCUUAAGCACAUGCUUGAAAUCAACUGAAUUUCCAAGGAGAAAGGAAAAACAAGUUAAAAAUAUCUUUAUUUUAAUUUUACUGAACACUUUUCAACUUAAUUUCUUAAUGUAGUCUCACAAUAUGCAGGGGAAUAUAACCUACUUUCCCCAGAUAACUUUCUAUUUCUAUUUUGGAAUAUUGUCUUACAAUAUUUUUUUAUUGGACAAUUUCUACUAGAAGUAGAUUGUCCCUCAUCUUAAAUUUUAAUACUUUUUUCUUGCCUAUCACUAAGAUUUUACACAAUUAGGUUUCUGCUCUGUAUAUUCUUAAACAUCUAUUAACAUACUAUCAAAGAUCAUCCAAUUAAAUAGUAUACAGCAUUUACUUAUGAUAAAUAUGACUCUACAAAUUAGUUAUAUGAAAGACCCUUGCAACAGUGUUCAAUAGUGACUUAUCCAAACAACCUUUAUAUGUCUUUUGACAUUUUGCAUUUAGACAUGUUUGUCUUGCAAGCACAGGCAAUGACUGUUGUUUUGUUUCAUUUUGUUUUUCAUUUCUGGACUACCUUUCAGGCUUUUUGUUUUGUAAUAAACAAGUUUGGCAGAUAGAAAUAGUGUUUCUCUCUGGAGCAAUGUUCAGGCUUGCUUACUGACCUUUUAUAACAUAUUUAUAUUCUGAGCUCAGAGUUCCUCUCCUGUAAUGCAGUUCACUGUAUGUUCAGAUGUCAUUUGACUCUGCAUUUCCCAAUAGGAAGUUGGACAUAGCCUGCUGGGUGCGGUGGCUUAUGCCUGUAAUCCCAGCACUUUUGGAGGCUCAGGCGGACAGAUCACCUGAGGUCGGGAGUUAGAGACCAGCCUGACCAACAUGGAGAAACCCUGUCUCUACUAAAAAUACAAAAUUAGCCGGGUGUGGUGGUGCAUGCCUGUAAUCCCAACUACUGGGGAGGCUGAGGCAGGAGAGUCACUUGAACCCUGGAGGCGGAGAUUGCAGUCAGCUGAGAUCUUGCCAUUGCACUCUGGCCUGGGCAACAAGAGGAAAACUCCGUCUCAAAAAAAAAAAAAAGAAGUUGGACACAGUGAAAUGACACAAGCAGAUGUUAAUUCACAUGCUACUGCUAUUGCUGUGAGUAGUAGUCCUUUAUUUCUGACCCAGGGAUAUCAUGGCUUCCAGAAAGGUAAAAUCUCAAACUCUGCACAAGCCUUGAGCUGCCUGUUACAGUCUUUUCUCUCAGUCUCCUUGGAGCCUCUUAAGCUAAACAAGGACAUACACAGAGGAGAUUAAUCCCAAAUGGAAGUGCCAAACUGUGGAGGAAACAGGUUAAAAUAAUUUUGUGGUAUAUUAAAGAAAGGAAGCAUUUGGAUUCAUGGGAAAACAAAGACUUCUUGAAAUUAUGUAUUUUCAACCAGAAAACAAUAAAAAUUUAGCUUUUUUCCUAUAUCUGUUAUUUUAUUCUGUAAGAGAUAAUAUAGUACAUUUUAUUUUAAUUAGUUUUUUUAAAUUUCCUUAAUGCUAAUAAAACUAAAUAAUAUAAAUUUUGAUACUGGAAAGAGUUAUUAAAACACAUCAUUCUCUCUCAAAUCCUUAUCCCUUUAGCAGUAAACACUGGUGAUGAUGCAGUGUUUUCCUGUGCAUAAAAAUUCAUGUAAGCAUAUCUGAAUAUCGGCAAUUUUUAGUUAACAUUCUUAUAUAACUAUGUCCAUGCUUUAUAAGCUUAUUUUGUUUUCUUCCCGACUUAAUAUCUUGGAGACAUUUUGUGUUACUAUAUUUGGAGCUACUUAAUUGUUAAAAUUGCUGCUAAUAUUGUUCAAUGUAUUUAACUAUUCCCCAUCUUAUACAUGCAUGUGUGCACACAUAAACACACAUGAAUGCAUUUGAUAAUGAGAUGAUACUGUGUGAAUUAUUUUGUAAGCAACCUGCUCAUUUAAUCCUUUCAUUUGUUUUUCUUAUUCAAUAUAAAACAAUAUUACUUUCCAAAUUCUCUACUAAUUAGAAUUUAUUAAUAUAUUUUUCUCAAUUUGUCACUACUAUGAGCAAUGCUAAAAUGAUAAUCUUUGAUCAGAUAUUUAUUUGCAGAUAUUCAAGUGCACCUAGGGAAAAGAAUCCCAGCAACAGAAUUUCUUGUUCAAAACUUUGGUAUUUUAAAAUCACAUUGUAGAUCUGCAUUUCCAAACAACAACCAAAACUGCUGGAUGCAAGGUGGCUGCUUACACUACAGACCUGUUACAUAUAUUCCAACCCCAUAAUGCUAGGGGUUUACAAGGAUAAUAUUUGUGAACUUUCACAUUCUAUGUAGCGGUCACAAUGAAGUCCUCUAAAGGCAUCCUUUGAUGGAAGCAAUUUGGACGUUUAUGAUGGCUCAAAGCAAGGUUCCAAGCAAUGAGACUACAUUAGUGUAGAUCACCAAUAUAAAUAGAACAGCUAUCAUAUCAUAUCAGUUCUGUCCACAGCACGUGAGUAGGAGAAGUUCUGAAAUAAGAUCAUCAGGAACAAAGAAAGGAGUAUUUCAGAAUAUAUUCAGUUGAUUCCAGAGGUAGCCAAUCCUGCUUGAUUGAAUGUUUGCAAAAUUCAAUUCUCUGUUUGCAGAUUUAGGUACAGCAGGUCUUUGAAUAACAGUCAUUUCAUUCAACAUUGUUUCCUUAUAACGUUGAUGAGAAAAAAAGAAUAUAUAUAUACAUAUAUAUUCCCACUGGGGUUCACUGUCUGGGUAGAGUCUACAUGUUUUCCCCAGGUCUGGAUGGGUUUUUUUCUGGGUACCCAGGUCUCCCUGACAUUCCAAAGUUAUGCACAUUCAGUUCAUCUAAUGGUCCCAGUCAGAGUGAGUGCGGGGGGUCAGUGAGUACACCUGGUGAUACUACCUGUGUAGGGAUGGUUGUUUCCUGUCUGGUGUCCUAAGCUGCAGGGAGAAGCUCAGGCCACCUGCAACCCUAAACUGGAAUAAGCAGAUCUCGAUGGAAAGUUCAAGACAAAAUCAGUUUAAGAAUUUAGAAAAUCUUAUCGCUUCUCGGCCUUUUGGCUAAGAUCAAAUGAAGAAUUUAGAAAAUCUUGGGACUUCUUUAUUCCAUCUGUGCAUACGCCAUUUGAAUUUGAAAACAUUUUGAGGACUGUUUGAUGUGAAGUCUGAGCUGACACUAACAUCAGAGACAUGAAAUGCCAUUUUCAUCUUCUUAGUAGAGAGGGAACUUAUGAAGGGCAGAGUCUCCCUGUGAUGCCCAGGCUGGUCUCAAACUCCUGACUUCGAGCAAUCCUCCCACCUUGGUCUCUCAAAUUCUGAGAUUACAGACAUGAGCCACCACACCUAGUGGACAUCAGUCUUGAGAAACUAGAAGUUUUCCUGCUAAGAUCAGGAAAAGGGCAAGGAUGUUCCCGCUUACCACUCCUUGUCAACAUUUUAGUGAAAGUUCUAG